rnacentral:rRNA from 1 species
AUGGAGCACCAGAUGUUCAACGACCCGUUCACGAGCAGCAUGUCGUCACUGGAGGCGGAAAUCUUCUCCGGUGGCCACCACCACCCAGCGCCGUCCCUGCAGUGGCCGGGCCUAGACCACGACAUCCCGGCGGCACCGGCUGCCAACAACGCCACCUCAUCCGGCGGCCCGGGUUCCCACCGGAAGAUGAGCCACAGCGCGUACGAGCGCGACAGCCGCAAGCAGCUCAACGAGCAUUAUUCCAACCUUCGCUCCCUCCUCCCUGACGAUGAUCAUCACACUAGGAAGCUGAACAAUCCGACCAUUGUGUCGCGGGUGAUCAAGUACAUCCCGGAGCUGCAGAAGGAGGUAGACGGCCUGGAGAAGAAGAAGGAACAGCUGACGCGUGCCAGCUGCAGGCCGGGAGAUGACACGGCUCCGAUCGUCUCCGCCACCUGCCUCAACGACAGGGAAAUCAUGGUCCAGGUCAGCCUGCUGAACACCAUGGCUGGCGCUCUGCCCAUGUCCAAAUGCAUCAACGUGCUGGAGAAUCAAGGCCUCUGCCUCGUCAGCUCGUCCGCUUCCGCUUUUCAGAACAGGACCUUCUAUAGCCUUCAUCUUCAGAGAACCCAACGAACAAUGAGCAAAGAGUGCUCAGCAUUUUGUGACGAACUGGAGAACGCCGUGAAGCAAAAGGCGGGACUACAUCCACAUUACUAG